UACGGAGGAUGCAAGCGUUUAUCCGGAAUGAUUGGGCUAAAGCGUCCGCAGGUGGCUAUGUAAGUCUGCUGUUAAAGAGUGAGGCUCAACCUCAUAAGAGCAGUGGAAACUACAUGGCUAGAGUGCGUUCGGGGCAGAGGGAAUUCCUGGUGUAGCGGUGAAAUGCGUAGAGAUCAGGAAGAACACCGGUGGCGAAAGCGCUCUGCUAGGCCGCAACUGACACUCAUGGACGAAAGCUAGGGGAGCGAAUGGG
rnacentral:rRNA from 1 species